ACUGAGCCACCCAGGCGCCCCAUGAGAGAACAUCAGUUGAUAGUCAACCACAGUGAAGAUUAAAUUUGCGAGAGUCCAAGAGUCCAGCAAGGAAGUUCCAGCACAUUGUUUGACCAAAAGCCCAAGAAUAAAUGCACUGAAGAGGGUAUAUCUUAUGGCAGUGACAUUAGUAACAGCUGAAAUGAAAUCAUCUCCUUGGUUGACUAAGAAGAUAGUUACCAAAACUGAUCUGUAAGUCUAAAUAAACAUCCCCAGAGAUCUUGGAGAUUUCAGCAAAAUAAGUCUCCUGAGGAGAAAAGAAAGAGAGGAAUUAAAUGUGAAAAUUAAAAGGAAUAUGACAUUACUUUGUGUCCAAAUAACUCAAUAUGAUAAGAAAUGUGCAUAUAGGGAUAUAAUAAA